rnacentral:rRNA from 1 species
ACUCAAAGGAAUUGACGGGGGCCCGCACAAGCAGUGGAGCAUGUGGUUUAAUUCGACGCAACGCGCAGAACCUUACCAGGGCUUGACAUCGUCUGACUGGCGUGGAGACACGCAGUUCUAACUUAGGUUAGACAGAUAGACAGGUGCUGCAUGGUUGUCGUCAGCUCGUGUCGUGAGAUGUUGGGUUAAGUCCCGCAACGAGCGCAACCCCUGUCCUGUGUUGCCAGCGUAGAGACGGGCACUCACAGGAGACUGCCGGAGACAAUUCGGAGGAAGGUGGGGAUGACGUCAAAUCAUCAUGGCCCUUAUACCCUGGGCUACACACGUGCUACAAUGGCAGGCACAGAGGGGAGCCAAGGAGUGAUCCGGAGCGAAUCUCAAAAAGCCUGUCUCAGUUCGGAUUGGGGGCUGCAACUCGCCCCCAUGAAGCCGGAAUUGCUAGUAAUCGCGGAUCAGCCAUGCCGCGGUGAAUACGUUCCCGGGCCUUGUACACACCGCCCGU